rnacentral:tRNA from 1 species
GCCUGGGUGGCUCAGUCGGUUAAGCGUCUGACUUUGGCUCAGGUCAUGAUUUCCUGGUUUGUGGGUUUGGGCCCCAUAUCAGGCU